AUCUCGCUAAAUCUCGGCAAUCACAUGACGAGACUUACAGAACCUAUUACGGACGUCAGUGUAUGAAUUGAGACAAGUGUGGCCUCUGAAACAUGUGGUUUGAGCAGGCAUCACGCAAUUAUGACGCCGUGUGGAUUACACUGUAAGACAACUGGGAAUCAAAGGCUAGGCGGUGAAUUUCUACAAAAAUGAUAGGAUGAUAUAUACAUGUAUGUAGGUCUUCAAAGGGAGUGGUUUACAGAAAGUCGAAAACAUAUUUUGAAUGUGCGGAAUAUUUGACAUCCUUACAACGAAGUUUUGGGUAAAUUUAGAACUACAAACCACCACCUUCCUGUCGAAGUAGGCAGAUGGAGUAUUGGUGAGAGAAAUGAACGCCUUUGUAUAGUAUACAAUUGUAACCAAAUUGGAGAUUAAUUUGAUCAUAUUCUGGAAUGUGAAGUAUUGUGCCAAUUACGCAGAUAUUUUCUCAAUAUAAAAUAUUGUUCUACUACAAGCAUAAACCAUUUUUGUGGACUUCUAGAAAUUUUAUAUGUAUAAUAAAGUUGUGUAUGCUUACAUGUAUCUUAAAGAUCAAUAAUAUUGUCUA